rnacentral:rRNA from 1 species
GACGAACGCUGGCGGCGUGCUUAACACAUGCAAGUCGAACGGUAAGGCCCUUCGGGGUACACGAGUGGCGAACGGGUGAGUAACACGUGGGUGAUCUGCCCUGCACUUCGGGAUAAGCCUGGGAAACUGGGUCUAAUACCGGAUAGGACCACUGCCUGCAUGGGUGGUGGUGGAAAGCUUUUGCGGUGUGGGAUGGGCCCGCGGCCUAUCAGCUUGUUGGGGGGGUGAUGGCCUACCAAGGCGACGACGGGUAGCCGGCCUGAGAGGGUGACCGGCCACACUGGGACGGAGAUGCGGCCCAGACUCCUACGGGAGGCAGCAGUGGGGAAUAUUGCACAAUGGGCGCAAGCCUGAUGCAGCGACGCCGCGUGAGGGAUGACGGCCUUCGGGUUGUAAACCUCUUUCAGCACCGACGAAGCGCAAGUGACGGUAGGUGCAGAAGAAGGACCGGCCAACUACGUGCCAGCCGCCGCGGUAA